rnacentral:rRNA from 1 species
GACGAACGCUGGCGGCGUGCUUAACACAUGCAAGUCGAACGGAGUGGCGAACGGGUGAGUAACACGUGGGUGAUCUGCCUUGCACUUCGGGAUAAGCUUGGGAAACUGGGUCUAAUACCGGAUAGUGCAAGAUGAGCGCGCGGCCUAUCAGCUUGUUGGUGGGGUAAUGGCCUACCAAGGCGUCGACGGGUAGCCGGCCUGAGAGGGUGUACGGGCACAUUGGGACUGAGAUACGGCCCAGACGGCUACGGGAGGCAGCGGUGGGGAGUAUUGCACAAUGGGCGGAAGCCUGAUGCAGCGGCGCCGGGUGGGGGAUGAACGCCUUCGGGUUGUAAACUCCUUUCGACAGGGACGCGUUACCUGUAUAAGAAGCACCGGCUAACUACGUGCCAGCAGCCGCGGUAAUUC